GUCUGGGCAGUAGGGAUGGCUGGGAAGUCUUGUCAAGAUCCCCAGGAGUUCUGUUGGGAGUUGUCUUAAACGUGGGUUUUUUUGGAGCUUGAAGCCUCAAGAAGCAGCCAAGAAGCAGCAGGCUGAAGCUGAAGAAUGGAAGCUGCUUGGAAAGAAGACUGGAACAACCUGGAAAGCAGCUACCUGAAAAAGCAGCAGCAGUAGUAGAAUUCCAAGGUUGCCUUGGCAACGAGGAGCUACCUUGCCAGCAGCAACAGAAGAUCAGUAACCGCCACUGCAUCUGCAGCAGAGGAGCAACAGCCACACUCUGGGGAUCGGGCAGGACAGAAGGACCAAUAGAGGAAUCGGAGGAAAAUUUAAAUAAGGAGCGCGACAGGUUGCUGAGAUUUCCCGAGAAGUGGAUUUCACCAGACAUCUUCAGUUGAUAUGAACAGAAGAUGUGCAUCCCAAAUACACUGCUUUGAAAAUCUCAAACAUUAUUUUGAAAGGAUUAAUAUUCCCCUGCGGAGAAAAAGCAAAACCAGCUCCUCUAAUUCUCUUGUUCAAGCAGCAUGAAAUGCAGAGACCAAACAAGGAGUAUAAAUGAUGACAAGUAAAUUAGAAACCUACGGUCUUUUCCUUAAGGGCCAAGGAAAUCUGAUCAAUUUUCUGUAAAAGCUCUUUUUCAAUCCGUUCAUGUUCCUGUUCCAACCAGCUGCGGGCAGACAAUAUCUGGCUGCUGAGUUCCUCUACCGCACC